GAUGAAGAACGUAGCGAAAUGCGAUACGUAAUGUGAAUUGCAGAAUUCAGUGAAUCAUCGAAUCUUUGAACGCAUAUUGCGCUCUCUGGUAUUCCGGAGAGCAUGCUUGUUUGAGUAUCAGUAAACACCUCAACUUCCAUAUCUUUUUUGAAAUGGGAGUUGGACUUGAGUGAUCCCAACGCUUUUCCUCACCGAAAAGUGGCGGGUUACUUGAAAUGCAGGUGCAGCUGGACUUUUCUCUGAGCUAUAAGCAUAUCUAUUUAGUCUGCCUAAAAAACAGAUUAUUACCUUUGCUGCAGCUAACAUAAAGGAGAUUAGUUCUUGUGCUGACUGAUGCAGGAUUCACAAAGACAGGCUUCGGCCGACUUUGUAAACUCGAUCUCAAGUCAAGUAAGACUACCCGCUGAACUUAAGCAUAUCAAUAAGCGGAGGA
rnacentral:misc_RNA from 1 species